rnacentral:rRNA from 1 species
UGGGGAAUUUUGGACAAUGGGCGAAAGCCUGAUCCAGCAAUGCCGCGUGUGUGAAGAAGGCCUUCGGGUUGUAAAGCACUUUUGUCCGGAAAGAAAUCCUUGGCUCUAAUACAGUCGGGGGAUGACGGUACCGGAAGAAUAAGCACCGGCUAACUACGUGCCAGCAGCCGCGGUAAUACGUAGGGUGCAAGCGUUAAUCGGAAUUACUGGGCGUAAAGCGUGCGCAGGCGGUUUGCUAAGACCGAUGUGAAAUCCCCGGGCUCAACCUGGGAACUGCAUUGGUGACUGGCAGGCUAGAGUAUGGCAGAGGGGGGUAGAAUUCCACGUGUAGCAGUGAAAUGCGUAGAGAUGUGGAGGAAUACCGAUGGCGAAGGCAGCCCCCUGGCAAGUACUGACGCUCAUGCACGAAAGCGUGGGGAGCAAACAGGAUUAGAUACCCUGGUAGUCCACGCCCUAAACGAUGUCACUAGUUGUUGGGGAUUCAUUUCCUUAGUAACGUAGCUAACGCGUGAAGUUGACCGCCUGGGGAGUACGUCGCAAGAUUAAAAC